CCCAGUUCCACUAAGUUCUGAAUCCAGGCUAAAUACAAUUAGAACUUUAAGAACUGUGAAAAAUCUAAGACUUGAUUUGCAAGGAAUCAAGUUAGCCUGUCACAGGUUCAUAUUUAUAUUGGCAGGAAAACAGAAACCUCUGAGUCAGAGACAAGACAGUUUAUUACUAGGAGAAAGAGCAACAGCCAGACUCGCAUAUUAGUUUUGCUCCCUGAGCUCCAAUAACCCAAGAGUGGCGUGGUGAGAGGUGAGGAAAACAGAAGCUCACAUAUGUGAAGUACCUUAUGAAAGGUCACUGGCUCAUAAGAGGAACAGGAUGCAGACUGCAGACUUCUGACUCUCAGCUAGCGUCCCUGCUCAUUCCCAAGGAAAUGGAAAGACACAAUGCUACUGUUAUUUGAAUGUUUAGGAGAAGGGUGGGUGGUGGUAAAAGGAAAUGUCUCACAAGCCCCACUGGCACUUGAUUUGUUGAAACUGUAAUAAUCACACUAUUAAUGGGUCUCUUUGGAAUAAUGCUUUUAGGAGGGCUUUUAUUGGCAUUAUUUGUUUGACAAAAUAACAUUGUGCACUUGAUGUCAUUAAACCCAUUUUACAGAUUGAGAAACCGGAAAAUACUGAUUUCUCCGUCGUUUACUAAACUGGUAAAUGGAAGAACCAAAAGUUUACUCCCCAAAACUGUGCUUUAAAUAAGUGACCACUGCCCUUGUACCUACAUUUAUUUAUUAUCUAUUAACCCGCUUGCUGGAUCUUCCUUAUGAAGAAGUUCGGUAGAUCAUGUUUGCUUUUUCAUUUAUGCAUAAAUAUUUAAGAGGCCACACCCAUUAAGAUGACUACUCUGAAAAAAAAAA
rnacentral:lncRNA from 1 species